UCUUGACAGAUGAUAUAAUCCAAGGAAAGAAGAAUUUUAUAUUUAAACUCCUUUGGUGAAAGCUGAGCCAAACUGCUUCACUGCAAAAAGGUUGUAAGAGUCACUCCAACUGCAAAGUGGCAAUGUCACGCAUUGCCACACAGAAUUCAGAGGGAUGGGACUUCAUGUGGUGUAUUUGUCUGCAAGUUUGCAGAAGCAGUUCUAAAUGGAGGCAGUUUCUUAUAAAAACUAAGUUCUGGUGAUGUGCAUCAUUACACCAAUACCUUAAUGCCUUUGUUUCCACAUAAGACCUGUCUGAUCUAUGCUUGUCAUGUGGGGACAAAUAUCCUCACACUCAGGACAACACUGACUCUUGGAUUGAAUGUGAGAGAUGCUAUGGCUGGUACCACUGGGAAUGUGUAAACCAGCCAAACGUGAAAGCGCGCAAACAUGAAAUUCUAAGUUCUUGUGUGGUCCUAUAAUUUAAAGGCUUUUUUUGUUUGUUUUUUUUUGUUUUGUUUUGUUUUUUUGUUUGUUUUUUAUACAGACAACAUUG